GCCCUUCUUCCUCUGCGCCCCGUCUCCAGGUCUUCUCUCGUUCGCUUCACUUCCAAAGGCAUUAAAAUCGGAAAAAGGAGAGAAAAAACUCCAAAAUUUUGGCGCUUCCUUUUUCUGUAAAACCCUAAUCAACGAUCCUUUGUUCUUCCUCCGUUCUUCUCCCUCUCUCCGAUUCUCCGAUUUUCCGAUUCCAUUUGGCCGAUCUGUUUCACUUCCCUCACUGUUCUACUUCCUGAAUCUUCUCCUUUCAAGAUCUCUGCGGAUUUCUGAUUUUUGAACCUGCAGUUUAGUAGCUGAACUCUGGCGGUUUUUCGCCGAGUGUAAAUGGCGGAUCCGCCAGGUAUCCGCCAUCUCUCUGCCUUUUGUGAUCUACGUAAAGCUGCGAGUGUUUCUGGUCUUGUUGUUAUUGGUUUUUGUUGCGUUCGAUUCGCGCUCGUAGACUUGCCGUGCUGUGACGAUUGACGAGACUGAAGCAUGCUGAACGUGGUACGCGUGCACCUGCCCUCUGAUAUUCCUAUUGUAGGUUGCGAACUCACGCCCUACGUGCUCCAUCGACGGCCUGAUAAGAACAUUAGCACUGAUGAUGUUUCUGAGUCCGCUGCACUUGGCGGUCAAUUCCUGAGAUACAGAUGGUAUCGCUUACAAAGUGAUAAAAAAGUUGCUGUUUGUAGUGUACAUCCUUCUGAGCAAGCCACUUUACAAUGUUUAGGUUGUGUUAAAGCCAAAAUUCCUGCUUUUAAAAGUUAUCAUUGCACCACCAAAUGCUUUUCCGAUUCUUGGCAGCAUCAUCGUGUUCUACAUGACCGUGCUGCUAGUGCUAUGAAUGAAAAUAGUAAUGAAGAGGAAGAGUUAUUUGGACGUCAUAACAAUAAUAAUAAUGCAGCACCUGGUGCCAUCAACCCCAGCUCUUCUAGCAUGCUCAAUGGUUCAACAACAUUGUACCCUGCAGCUGUUACCCAAAAGACUGGUGUGGAAACUUGGUUAGAGGUUGGACGCUGUAAGAGUUACACACCAACGGCUGAAGAUAUUGGCCACGUUCUUAAGUUUGAAUGUGCCGUGGUUGAUGUGGAAACCAUGUUAUCUGUGGCAUCUCCACUUACUGUCUCAACUUCUCGGGUCAUUCCAGCUCCAUCUCCUACUCCACGUCACUUAAUACCUGUUAAUGGGGUUGAUACGAUGGGAAAGAUGGAUUUGGAUGGUCGAGUAUCAUCAUCAGGAACUUUUACAGUGCUUUCCUACAAUAUUUUGGCUGAUGUUUAUGCCACAAGUGAAACAUUCAGUUAUUGCCCUUCAUGGGCCCUUUCAUGGCCAUAUCGGCGACAAAAUUUGCUUCGGGAAAUAGUUGGCUAUCGUGCAGAUAUAAUUUGUCUUCAGGAGGUUCAGAGCGAUCACUUUCUGGAAUUUUUUGCUCCUGAACUUGACAAACAUGGUUAUCAAGCACUUUACAAGAGAAAAACCAAUGAGGUCUACAAUGGGAACAUUCAAACAAUUGAUGGCUGUGCAACAUUUUUUCGUAGAGAUAGAUUUGCUCAUGUCAAAAAAUAUGAGGUUGAGUUCAACAAAGCUGCACAAUCUUUGACUGACCCAGCUACUAUUUUAACUGCUCAAAAGAGAAAUGCUUUAAACAGAUUAAUCAAGGAUGAUGUUGCACUUAUCGUAGUUCUUGAAUCAAAAUUCAGCACUCCAACGGUUGAUAAUCCAGGAAAAAGGCAGCUUGUUUGCGUGGCUAAUACGCAUAUUAAUGGGAAUCAAGAUUUAAAAGAUGUCAAACUCUGGCAGGUGCAUACUUUAUUGAAAGGACUGGAGAAAAUAGCUGUUAGUGCAGAUAUUCCAAUGUUGGUCUGUGGGGAUUUUAAUUCUGUUCCUGGAAGUGCCCCACAUCAUCUCCUUGCUAGGGGGAAGGUGGAACCAACACAUCCAGAUUUAGCUGUAGAUUCUCUAAAUCUAUGUCAGCCACAUAGCAAAUUGUCACAUCAACUACCUUUGGUUAGUGCAUACUCCUACUUUGCAAUAAAGGGAGUUGGUAACGGUUCAGAUAAGCAGAAGAAAAGGCUGGAUCCUACAACAAAUGAACCCUUAUUUACGAAUUGUACUAGAGAUUUUAUUGGAACCCUGGACUACAUUUUCUACACAGCGGACACUUUAACAGUGGAGUCUUUGUUAGAGCUCCUGGAUGAGGAGAGCUUAAGGAAAGAUACAGCACUUCCAUCCCCAAUAUGGUCCUCCGAUCACACAGCACUCCUUGCCGAGUUUCGGUGCAAAUCUCGAUCUAGACGUUAACCAUGCAUAGUGUAGUUCAGGCGUGGAAGAAAAGCAUCGUAGCAAAGAUGCAGAAGAAAGAAAAGUUUGUGUUUGUUGAGAAAGUAAAUUGAAUAUAGUAGGAAUGGUGGCGGAUCAUGCGGUGUUCAAUGUCCACAGAGGGUGGGAAUGAUAGAUAAAUAUGCAUGCAGUCGGGUUGAUGGACGACUAAUGUAACGUACGAGAGAAGAUUGUGAAAUGCGCUACUAAGUAUAUGACAAAGUUUUGAAAUAAGAAGGUUGGAUAGUUUAAUGCGCCUGAAUUUAAUGUAUUGUGCAGAAGUAUUAGAGAUGGAAGAAAUAACUAGACUAUUUAGAGUUCUCUUA